rnacentral:rRNA from 1 species
AACGAACGCUGGCGGCAUGCCUAACACAUGCAAGUCGAACGAGACCUUCGGGUCUAGUGGCGCACGGGUGCGUAACGCGUGGGAACCUGCCCUUAGGUUCGGAAUAACUCCCCGAAAGGGGUGCUAAUACCGGAUAAUGUCUUCGGACCAAAGAUUUAUCGCCUUUGGAUGGGCCCGCGUUGGAUUAGCUAGUUGGUAGGGUAAAAGCCUACCAAGGCGACGAUCCAUAGCUGGUCUGAGAGGAUGAUCAGCCACACUGGGACUGAGACACGGCCCAGACUCCUAAGGGAGGCAGGAGUGGGGAAUAGUGGACAAUGGGCGAAAGCCUGAUCCAGCAAGGCCGGGUGAGUGAUGAAGGCCUUAGGGUUGUAAAGCUCUUUUAACCGGGAUGAUAAUGACAGUACCGGGAGAAUAAGCGCCGGCUAACUCCGUG